AGGAAGGGAGGCAGAGAUGAAAGCAAAAUGAGAAAAGAUAAGAACAGAGUGAGGGAGACAGAGAGGGAAAAAACAGAGGAAGAGAUAGAGUACGGAGUGGAGAGAGCGGUAACCAUGGAAACAAGGGGAAGGUACAAAAGAAGAGAUAGACAAAAGGGUUUGAUUUAAAAAAAUAAUGAAACUUGGGUGAAAAGAAGAAGUCAUUCCGGCUGAGAUUUGUUACUGCGAGCUGGAGGAAUAAUACAAACGGGAAGGACAGUGACGACGUGUCCGCACUUACGGUGCACAGGGGACCUUGAUGAUGGGAUACCGGAAUACUGCAACAUACCCAGUAAUAAACUUCUUUCCAGCCAUGGAUGUGCGCAAGAUUUGUGGAGCAAAGAGGAAACAUCACAAGGAGGUUCAAGAUUAUUCUGCACAUUGUUGUUUAUUUUGUAGUCCAUUAAUACAGUCUUACCUUUUGCCUCACAGAAGCAUCCCUGAUUAAAAACAAAGACUGUUUCUCUCCUCUUUGUUUGUUUCAAGUUAUUUUGGUGUCCAGAUUCUGACCUUAUCUCGGAGGAGCUAGGAGCAUUCAA